ACGGAAGGCAGCAGUGGGGAAUAUUGCACAAUGGGGGAAACCCUGAUGCAGCGACGCCGCGUGAAGGAAGAAGUAUCUCGGUAUGUAAACUUCUAUCAGCAGGGAAGAUAAUGACGGUACCUGACUAAGAAGCCCCGGCUAACUACGUGCCAGCAGCCGCGGUAAUACGUAGGGGGCAAGCGUUAUCCGGAUUUACUGGGUGUAAAGGGGGCGUAGACGGAUCGGCAAGUCUGAUGUGAAAGGCUGGGGCUCAACCCCGGGACUGCAUUGGAAACUGUCGGUCUUGAGUGCCGGAGGGGUAAGCGGAAUUCCUAGUGUAGCGGUGAAAUGCGUAGAUAUUAGGAGGAACACCAGUGGCGAAGGCGGCUUACUGGACGGUAACUGACGUUGAGGCUCGAAAGCGUGGGGAGCAAACAGGAUUAGAUACCCUGGUA
rnacentral:rRNA from 1 species